GUUGUGAUUUCUGCUGAUACAACAAGCAAGGUCAAACUGAUUUAAAGCAUCCCGCUCAUCUGGAGACAAACGGAUGAGAUCAGUAACCACCACCUUCUGCAUCUCCACGUCUGCUGAAUUCAUGGGGUUUGAUUCCAUCAUCCUGGCAGACACUACAAAACAACAACAAAGUUAUGAGAAUAUUGCUAAAAGCAUCAACAUCUAACAAAUGUUCAAUUUUGGACCCAGUUCAAGCUCCUUGAAGAACCUACCUGAUCUCACCUCCGUUGCCAAGAUUUCCAGUCAGGCUUUGCUGGCAGCAGUUGGACUCCAUAACCUCAGCUUCUCCGAGCGAAACCUGUCCACCCUCCAGCGAGCGGCACCACUGGACCAAAUCAGUAAGGAAACAACGAAUCAAAGGUCUGAUCUGUGGAAAGAUCAGUUAUCAAAGUGACCAGGCUUACCAAACUUACUAGACCCGGAAUAACUCCCCUCCGGCGAACCAGCACCUGCAACAAACUCCGAGAGGUUCCAGACCCAGAUCCCACCUCCAUCGGACCUGUGAACAAAUAAACACGUUAAACUUCAUAAUCUCUCUGAGUGUUCUGCAUGUGGGUCAGAUUGGCAAGCAAAAUGACAGAGACUCUCUGAAACCAACUUGAAAACGUACAGGCUUUCUCCAUGACAUUAUAAAUCUGCAAUCAGAUUAUGUAGUAAUGGUAAUUUGAUAAACGAUAUGUAGGAAAAUGUUGCUGUUUUGUGAUAGUAAUAUUGAAAUAAACUAUAUUGCAUUAUAAUUAUUAAAAAACAAAAAUGGUGAAUAUUUGACACAUUUCAUCCAUUUAUUGUUAUUGUGCAUUAAUAUCUGCAUUAUUUCUGUUUAUUGAUAAUAGCAUUAUGCAUUCUUCCCUCCUAUUACAACAGAUAUGAAGGAGUAAAGGACCGGUGUCACACAAAGGACAAGUACAACACAGCCAGAGCCUUGCUGGACCUUCACAAUGUGCAUUAACCAGAAAUUAUUUUAUUGCUUGACCUACCAUGCAACUUAUUAGCAAUAUUACAAAGUUAUGAAAUAUGCUGUUGUACAUGCCAAUUUGUGACAUGUUAGUCUACAGCUAUUGUACAUUUAAUGCAGCUUGUCAAGCUGUUUGUGAUUAGAAAAUAAAGCCUUACAUGUGUU